AUUAGAUUAAAAACCAAUGCCCUCUGGGCUCCUUGGUGAAUCAUGAUAACUUCACGAAUCGCACGGCCUUGCGCCGGCGAUGGCUCAUUCAAAUUUCUUCCCUAUCAACUUUCGAUGUUUGGGUAGUGGCCAAACAUGGUUGCAACGGGUAACGGAGGGUUAGGGCUCGACCCCGGAGAAGGAGCCUGAGAAACGGCUACUACAUCCAAGGAAGGCAGCAGGCGCGCAAAUUACCCAAUCCCGAUUCGGGGAGGUAGUGACAAUAAAUACUGAUACAGGGCUCUUUCGGGUCUUGUAAUCGGAAUGAGUACAAUUUAAAUCCCUUAACGAGGAACAAUUGGAGGGCAAGUCUGGUGCCAGCAGCCGCGGUAAUUCCAGCUCCAAUAGCGUAUAUUAAAGUUGUUGUGGUUAAAAAGCUCGUAGUUGAACCUUGGGCCUGGCUGGCCGGUCCGCCUCACCGCGUGUACUGGUCCGGCCGGGCCUUUCCUCUGUGGAACCUCAUGCCCCUUCACUGGG
rnacentral:rRNA from 1 species